rnacentral:rRNA from 1 species
GUGUCAGCAGCCGCGGUAAUACGGAGGGUGCAAGCGUUAUCCGGAUUCACUGGGUUUAAAGGGUGCGUAGGUUGACCGGGAAGUCAGUGGUGAAAUACUCUCGCUUAACGAGAGAACUGCCGUUGAUACUAUCGGUCUUGAAUACGGUGGAGGCGGGCGGAAUGUGUCAUGUAGUAGUGAAAUACUUAGAUAUGACACAGAACACCUAUUGCGAAGGCAGCUCGCUACGCCGUCAUUGACACUGAGGCACGAAAGCGUGGGGAUCAAACAGGAUUAGAAACCCCCGUAGUCC